AGCGUUCGCCAACACCCAGCGUUACCUCCAGCCCCUGCGUGUCGGAGGCUGACAGUGGUGAGGAUGACCGUCGCUCCCAGCCCCGGAGGACAAUGACUCAAAACACACCUCCAGGCUGUGUAAGGGCUAUUUGACCAAGAAGGAGAGUGAUGGAGUGCUGCAUCAGAUGACAUGGCAUCCACAAUCACCUGACCUCAACCCAA